ACUAGAUUAAAUUUUGCCGUCUAGAAAAUGAGAAAAAAGGCCUCUAUCUCCUGGAGUCUACUGGGAAGAUCUUUAUUCUGAUUCUUGUUAGAAUUGUUUAUCACUCUGACAGAGCAGGCCUGGGAUGAGAUAAAGGCAGCGCUCCAUCACGAGCCCUGACAGUCGUAGGACAUGCAGUGGAAUGAAAGGAGCCAGGGAAAUAUUAUUAAUAGAUGCUGACUUGAUUUGCCUCGAUUGCACGUCAAGAAGAGGGGGCCACGGCUUGAUUGCAGCCUAUGAAGUUCUGUCCAAAAGGGAAGCUAUUUUUCAUUAAGUGAUAGAAGUCUUUUUUUUUUUUUUUUUUGCUCCCCUUUUGCAUUGCUUUCCAAGGAGCUGAUAACUUAUGCAGUUUAUUCUAAGCGUGCUGAUUUGUGUCAGCGAGAGAGAGAGAGAGAGAGAGAGAGAGAAAGAAAAAAAAUGGAACUUAUCUCUUCUUUCACAAAGUAAACCGCCUAGCCUGUAAUGCUGGUUUGGUUGAAGUGAGCACCUAGCUCUCACACACAGCCUAUCUUUUGGAUGCGAUCUACAUCCAUGCAGGGUAUGGAAUUUCAUAUGUAUUGUGGUCGUUUCAAUACACAUCCACCCUAAAAUAAAUGAAUAAAACAUUAUGAUUCACCAUUUUUAAAAAUAAUGCACAAAUAAAGAUAAUAUGAAAAAGCAUUGUAUUCUUAAUUGAUCUCAUGCAAAACACACAGUUGUACGCACACACACAUGUACUGUACAUAAAUACUACUCACACUGAAAUACAUAUGCACAGACGUGCGCACUCACGGACACACAUGCAUACAAUAUACACACCCCCAGACUGGCAGAUGAGACAGCCAGUGUAUGCUUCCAAUCUUGAGGCAAAGAAGGAAAAGAACAAAAAAAAGAGCUAAAAUAGAUAAUGACAGCAAAACGCCGCAUGAUUCGCUCAGUUAGGGGAGGUAGAAAAAAAAAAAAAACAUUUGUUCAAUCUACUGUAUGAGUGGCUGGCUGAUCAAGUGGUAGACAAGUUUUUUUAUACCUUUUUUUAUAUCUCAGGAAAGAGAAGACACAUAUUGGGGGCACAAUUAAAGGCAGCCUGAUUGAGAUACAAUGAAAGUUUGAUUUAGAAGGACUGCAGGAUGUUCCUUGUUUGAGAAGUUCCUGGUCUGGCUGCAUUGUGUGUACAGUGAGAACACCUGUCACCAGCAAUGGGAGGAGCAGUGUGGGGAGACAGACGAAAGCAUGAAGCAGGGGCUCAUGUAUCAGGUGGCAGUCAUGGAGCAUGGCUUUGGGUACUUGCUCCAGAGCAAGUCGUCAGUGGACACUGACAGAAACGGAUAAGAGCUCGGAGGGACAAAGCUCUCAAAAUACUGGACCUUGACCUUCCACAAAAAGAAGUGUAAGCACCAUAGCAACCAUGGUGGCUGUCUGGUCCCGCAGCGAUUCCAACUCAAGUCGCAAUGUAUAACACAGUUGCCAUACAGGAGGUCCUCAGCUGUGAACUCUGAUGCCUGCUGGAGAACAUUUCGGAGGGAUUGCUGAUCAGGUGAUGCCCGGAGCUGGUGAUGUCAGCACGUUAAUAAUGUCCACACAUUUCCGUGAGGUUUCGCUAAUGGCCAAAAGAGUUCUGGCUCUUUGGAGCAUUAAAGCUUUUUGCUCUAGGAACUUAGUUAGAUGUUAUACGACCUGGAUGACUGCCACAUCUCUUAUAUUUUUAUCAACCAUGUAGUUAUUCUGCAAAUAUGUUCUCUUAUUGAAUGCGCAUUGCCCAUUUUCAGUGAUCAUUUUGGGAUAGCACCACAUUUAGCACAAUUAUCUCAUUGCUAUGUCAUUACUAUAGUGUGUUACGCACAUAGGUUUUGUUACAGUAUAUUCAAAAUGACAAUUGGUUGAGAACCUCCUGAUAGAAACUAAAAGAACAGAGGGACGGUACGUCUUGAUAGGAAUAUCAAUAGUGCAUGUUCUGGACUUGAACAAUCAAUAGCAGAGCAAGGGAGCAACUUUCCAUACAGCGCUGAAACUCACAUGUUAGCGAUAGCGUACUGCGGCAUUCCCAAAGGGACAUGGUUGGGAGAAAGUCUGGAAUGCUGCUGAUUCCCUCGCAUAAAGGAAGCCUGAGCACUCGCAGUCAAUUGCUGCCCCACGAAGGCCCGGCAGGCCGCAGGGAUAAUGGGAACCAGAUCAGGGAGAGCUGCAGUGUUGUCACCAGGAAUUCAUCACAGCGGGGUAUCCUCUUCUCCAAUGUGAUCAGCCUGGCGGUGGGAGGUCUGCGAGUACAAUGCCAUGACCAGGAACUGGAACUUCCUUUUAAAGCCUUCCAGGUACUGAUGCAGAACAGCAGGAAAAAUACUAAUUAAAAACAGCAACAAUUGCAAAAAAAAAAAAA